UACAGAGGGUGCAAGCGUUAUUCGGAAUUAUUGGGCGUAAAGGGCGCGUAGGCGGCCUUGUAAGUCAAAGGUGAAAUCCCUCGGCUCAACUGAGGAACUGCCUUUGAAACUGCAAGGCUUGAGGCCGGGAGGGGGUAGCGGAAUUCCCAAUGUAGCGGUGAAAUGCGUAGAUAUUGGGAGGAACACCAGUGGCGAAGGCGGCUACCUGGACCGGUUCUGACGCUGAGGCGCGAAAGCGUGGGUAGCAAACAGG
rnacentral:rRNA from 1 species